rnacentral:lncRNA from 1 species
UUUCUUUACCUGUAUUGUGUUUAAUAUAAUUAGGUACACAGAUCAAUAGCAGUUCUUUUAGUGAGCUUUGUCCCUAUUAGAUUGAUAGUUAAUGAAUAUGUAUUCAUUGUGUAUGUACAUGUACAUUUAAUAUUAUCAUGAGUUUUUCUGUAGGCACUUGAUGUAUCUUCCAAGAUAUUAAGAAAAGGAGCUGAGCCACUCAAGAGAUUAUCCAGUCAAACUGAUCACAAGUUUUACAGAGCAUUAUAUGAUUUAAGAAGAAGAUGGAUACUACGUAGAACAGUUAAUGGAGUCAGUGGAGACCUCAGCUAUAGAUCAGCUGGUUCACUGUAUGCUCAGUCAGUUUAGUUUGAGGUUCAUAAAGAAAUUGAAGGUACUAAUGAUAUACUGUCAGUAGUGGUACCUCAAGAACUAAGAGGAAGGAGUGAAGAAGUUAUAUUCCUAGCAGACAGACCUAUUAAAGAGGUUGUUUCUCUUGAUUCUUUGUUGCUGUCUUGUUUCAUUGAGCUUCAUAAGCAACAGUUCAUGUUAACUCCAUGGGAGCAGAUACUUAAAUCAGCUCAAAAUGUGCUCUUCAAUGAAGAACUGUUUGCACAGAUUGUACAAUCAUUUGUGAUGAGGAACUUGUAUUAUAUAAUGUGAAACUACACAAGAGGAAAGGUCAUGACUAGUGAGUGGGUCAUUGAGCCUUAUUGCUAUAAAGAAUAACUACUCACACAAGUCACGUAUCUUGUACAGGUUGAUAUGGGAAGAAUACCAGCAACACUGGUUAAUAUUGUGUCAAGACGUCAGCCAUUAGCGGUGGCAUAUUUACGUUAUUAUUUAGAAACAACUAGUUUAAAUUCAAAUAGAAAUGGAAGAGAGAGUAAACCAGUUUAUUAUCAGGUACUGAUUCACCUAAUGAUCUAACUAUGAUGUAUAAAACAUAAUGUAUAAUGUAUUAUAAUGUACACUAGGAACAUGUGUGUUUACUAGUAUAAUUAUAAGUUGAGAUUAUUUAUACACUUUUGUUUUUAUAACUAUAUAUAAUAACUAUUA